GGCAGGGGUGGGGGACUGUCACUUAUUCAGGGGGGUUUGACAUCUGCAAGAAAAUGGGAGGCAGAGGGGAAGAGCAUGCAGUCAGCACUUGGUGAUCCCUGAGCCAAACUCCACAGCCUCCUGCCUUCUGGCCGGUGACAGAGAUUACCAUCUGGGGGAAGAGGCAGACACAGAUGCCAGCCCAGCCAGGUGGAAGAUAAUAUAUGUUAUAAUAGAGACAUCUUCAAAGGCAAGCACUGCCAUUUUUCAUGAAAAUGCCUCUGGCCAAUGUGAACUCCAUGACACCAGGGACUUCAGCUGUCUUAAUUAGUGUUAUAGCCCAGCAUCCAGCCUAGGGCCUGG
rnacentral:lncRNA from 10 species